UACGUAGGGUGCAAGCGUUAUUCGGAAUUACUGGGCGUAAAGCGUGCGCAGGCGGUUAUGUAAGACAGAUGUGAAAUCCCCGGGCUCAACCUGGGAACUGCAUUUGUGACUGCAUCGCUGGAGUGCGGCAGAGGGGGAUGGAAUUCCGCGUGUAGCAGUGAAAUGCGUAGAUAUGCGGAGGAACACCGAUGGCGAAGGCAGUCCCCUGGGCCUGCACUGACGCUCAUGCACGAAAGCGUGGGGAGCAAACAGG
rnacentral:rRNA from 1 species